UCCCUGGUGGCUCAGACGGUAAAGCGUUUGCCUACAAUGCAGAAGACCUGGGUCCAAUCCCUGGGUCGGGAA
rnacentral:tRNA from 1 species